CCAGGACGUGGUGAGACACCCAGGACGUGGUGGAGUAAUAUUAGAGUCAAGCAAGGCUCUUGAAGGACUCAAAAAGUAUUUGAAUCGGGUGGAGCAUGGCUCGGGAUGGCUCUAGGAAAAACUGCUGGGAGUAGUAUUAGAGUCGAGUAGAGAGCUCUUGAAGGAUUCAAAGAAGGUGUGCUUAAUGAUAAGAUACUCUAGUAUGAUAUUUGUGAUAAGGCCUCGUGGGUGGAGUAAAUAGAGUUGAAUCAAGUGGAGCACGGCCUCGUGUCAGGUGGAGCACGGGAUGAUUUGAGUCGGGUGGAGCGGGCUUAGGAAGGCUCUAGAGAAAUUGCUGAGACACCCAGGACGUGGUGAGACACCCAGGACGUGGUGGAGUAAUAUUAGAGUCAAGCAAGGCUCUUGAAGGACUCAAAAAGUAUUUGAAUCGGGUGGAGCAUGGCUCGGGAUGGCUCUAGGAAAAACUGCUGGGAGUAGUAUUAGAGUCGAGCAGAGAGCUCUUGAAGGAUUCAAAGAAGGUGUGCUUAAUGAUAAGAUACUCUAGUAUGAUACUUGUGAUGGGUAUUCAAGUGAAAGGUGGAGAUUGUUGGGAUUUCACAUGAAUCCCACAUCGGUUAAAUUCAAGAGUGUAGAUGGCUUAAUAAGUAUGGUAGAACAUCAACCUAAUAGGUUAACCUUUUAGGUAAGGAGGUGGUCCAACAUACUUAUUGGGCUCGUCUACACAGGUGUGCGCUGCUAAGGUGAUGAAUAGAUGUGGGAUGGAUCGUUCAAUUCCGCUACAAGUGGUAUCAAAGCCCAUGGUUCGGUGGGAGUCCAAGUAUCAACUUCAAGGUGCGAGGGGGUGCGCGAGAGGUACAAUUCGCAGGCCUCGUGGGUGGAGUAAAUAGAGUUGAAUCAGGUGGAGCACGGGGGCCUCGUGUCAGGUGGAGCACGGGAUGAUUUGAGUCGGGUGGAGCGGGCUUAGGAAGGCUCUAGGGAAAUUGCUGAGACACCCAGGACGUGGUGAGACACCCAGGACGUGGUGGAGUAAUAUUAGAGUCAAGCAAGGCUCUUGAAGGACUCAAAAAGUAUUUGAAUCGGGUGGAGCAUGGCUCGGGAUGGCUCUAGGAAAAACUGCUGGGAGUAGUAUUAGAGUCGAGUAGAGAGCUCUUGAAGGAUUCAAAGAAGGUGUGCUUAAUGAUAAGAUACUCUAGUAUGAUACUUGUGAUGGGUAUUCAAGUGAAAGGUGGAGAUUGUUGGGAUUUCACAUGAAUCCCACAUCGGUUAAAUUCAAGAGUGUAGAUGGCUUAAUAAGUAUGGUAGAACAUCAACCUAAUAGGUUAACCUUUUAGGUAAAGAGGUGGUCCAACAUACUUAUU
rnacentral:lncRNA from 1 species